UGAAUAAAAAUAGCCUAUUAAAAAUUAUAAGCCAGGCUUUUUAGACCCUAUCUCACACCCCUAUAAACACAGUGAUCAGAAGCCUUUGGGAGAACCAAAUCAGAAUUUGUAUCAGUAAAACAUGGCAAUCCCACUCAAACAUCAAGUCCCCAUGUUUUCUUGACUAGUACCUGCCAUCCUACUGGAUAGCAUCCUUCUCAGGGCUCCCACUGAUUCUAUG
rnacentral:lncRNA from 10 species